rnacentral:tRNA from 1 species
AUUGCUUAUUUUUACGGAAAAUAAAUGUUUUGAAAACAUUAAAAAAGGGUUCGAACCCCUUAGUAAUCUA